UCAGGAGAAAUCAUCUGAUUAGACCAACUUGGGUCAGAUGCUCACCCCUGGCUCAGACAGCUGUGGCUGGGGGCUGGGAGCAAGCAGUACCGACAUGGCUACACAGGACCCUUCCUAAAGACGGGCAAGUUUGUGGAGAAAGGAGUCGCCCUGAGUUGGCUAGACGUGUUCGCUGUCUGUCAUAUAUGUUUCCUGAGCUGAAUGCUCCUUCUGAGAACCCAGCUGCAAAGCUGUGAAGAGACCCAACCAACUCUGUGGGGGCCCACCUGGAGGAAGAGAAGUGAGACACCUGGCUAACAGUUCCAGCUGAGCUUCCAGUUGGCAACUAGCACCAACUUUCAGCCAUGUGGGUGAGGUCAUUUGUACCUCCAGACUUUCUACCACCCCAGCCAACACUCUGUGAAGCAGAAAACCAUUGGGUUAAUGGGUAACACACAUAAUUGUAAGAAAUAAUAAAUUGUUGUUUUAAGAGAUUCA